AUACCAUGAUGUGGGCAUUGGUACAAGAGAGUUAAGAAUUCAUCCUAUGUUUAGCAUAAUGUUUCUCCUUCUUUCUGUGUGAGGUUCAAAUUUUGAUUCCUGAGUUG